rnacentral:rRNA from 1 species
GAUGAACGCUGGCGGCGUGCCUAAUACAUGCAAGUCGAGCGAAUGGAUUAAGAGCUCGCUCUUAUGAAGUUAGCGGCGGACGGGUGAGUAACACGUGGGUAACCUGCCCAUAAGACUGGGAUAACUCCGGGAAACCGGGGCUAAUACCGGAUAACAUUUUGAACCGCAUGGUUCGAAAUUGAAAGGCGGCUUCGGCUGUCACUUAUGGAUGGACCAGCGUCGCAUUAGCAAGUUGGUGAGGUAACGGAUCACCAAGGCAACGAUGCGUAGCCGACCUGAGAGGGUGAUCGGCCACACUGGGACUGAGACACGGCCCAGACUCCUACGGGAGGCAGCAGUAGGGAAUCUUCCGCAAUGGACGAAAGUCUGACGGAGCAACGCCGCGUGAGUGAUGAAGGCUUUCGGGUCGUAAAACUCUGUUGUUAGGGAAGAACAAGUGCUAGUUGAAUAAGCUGGCACCUUGACGGUACCUAACCAGAAAGCCACGGCUAACUACGUGCCAGCAGCCGCAGUAA